GACAGGCCCUGGGGACAUUUGGUGACAAUUUGGGGACAUUGGGGCCCUGCAGGGGUGGCCCAGGCCACUGGGACAGGCCCUGGGGACAUUUGGUGACACUUUGGGGACAUUGGGGCCCUGCUGGGCAGGGCUGGGUGGGGGAGGGGCUGAUAAGGCUUAUCAGGAACCCCCAGCUGGGACAGGGUGGGGACACCUGGCACCGUGUCACCAAUGUCACCAGUGUCACCAAUGUCACCAGUGUGUCCCCAGGGCCUGGCAGGGGACAGGGACAGGGGACAGGGAGGGGACAUUGAGCUCGUGCCACCCCUCAGGUCCUUGUCACCAGUGACGGGGAGGUGACAUCAGUGUGUGUCACCGGUGACAGGGAGGGGACAUUGGGACUGUGUCACCAAUGAUGGGGGGGUGACAUCACCAGUGACAGGGAGGGGACACUGAGCCCAUGUCACCGGUGGGGGGAUGACAUUGAGUCCGUGUCACCCCUGGUGUCCUUGUCACCAAUGGGGGGGUGACAUCGGGUCCAUGUCACUCUCAGGGUCCAUGUCACCAAUGGAGGGGUGACAUCGAGUCUCUGUCACCAGCAGGGGGAGUGACAUCGGGUCUGUGUCACCACUAGGGUGGCCGUGUCACCCAU
rnacentral:lncRNA from 1 species